UCUCCUGGAAAAGGGUGGUAAUGCCGGAUGUUCCAGUUGAUCGCAUGGUCUUCUGGGAAAGCUUUCGCGGUAUGGGAUGGGGUCGCGUCCUAUCAGCUUGACGGCGGGGUAACGGCCCACCGUGGCUUCGACGGGUAGCCGGCCUGAGAGGGCGACCGGCCACAUUGGGACUGAGAUACGGCCCAGACUCCUACGGGAGGCAGCAGUGGGGAAUAUUGCACAAUGGGCGCAAGCCUGAUGCAGCGACGCCGCGUGAGGGAUGGAGGCCUUCGGGUUGUAAACCUCUUUUAUCGGGGAGCAAGCGUGAGUGAGUUUACCCGUUGAAUAAGCACCGGCUAACUACGUGCCAGCAGCCGCGGUAAUACGUAGGGUGCAAGCGUUAUCCGGAAUUAUUGGGCGUAAAGGGCUCGUAGGCGGUUCGUCGCGUCCGGUGUGAAAGUCCAUCGCUUAACGGUGGAUCCGCGCCGGGUACGGGCGGGCUUGAGUGCGGUAGGGGAGACUGGAAUUCCCGGUGUAACGGUGGAAUGUGUAGAUAUC
rnacentral:rRNA from 2 species